UACGAAGGGGGCUAGCGUUGCUCGGAAUUACUGGGCGUAAAGCGCACGUAGGCGGAUUGUUAAGUCAGGGGUGAAAUCCUGGAGCUCAACUCCAGAACUGCCUUUGAUACUGAGGAUCUUGAGUAUGGGAGAGGUGAGUGGAACUGCGAGUGUAGAGGUGAAAUUCGUAGAUAUUCGCAAGAACACCAGUGGCGAAGGCGGCUCACUGGCCCAUUACUGACGCUGAGGCACGAAAGCGUGGGGAGCAAACAGG
rnacentral:rRNA from 1 species